rnacentral:rRNA from 1 species
AUUGAACGCUGGCGGCAGGCCUAACACAUGCAAGUCGAGCGGAUGAAGGGAGCUUGCUCCUGGAUUCAGCGGCGGACGGGUGAGUAAUGCCUAGGAAUCUGCCUGGUAGUGGGGGAUAACGUCCGGAAACGGGCGCUAAUACCGCAUACGUCCUGAGGGAGAAAGUGGGGGAUCUUCGGACCUCACGCUAUCAGAUGAGCCUAGGUCGGAUUAGCUAGUUGGUGGGGUAAAGGCCUACCAAGGCGACGAUCCGUAACUGGUCUGAGAGGAUGAUCAGUCACACUGGAACGGAGACACGGGCCAGACUCCUACGGGAGGCAGCAGUGGGGAAUAUUGGACAAUGGGCGAAAGCCUGAUCCAGCCAUGCCGCGUGUUGGAAGAAGGUCGUCGGAUUGUAAAGCACUUUAAGUUGGGAGGAAGGGCAGUAAGUUAAUACCUUGCUGUUUUGACGUUACCAACAGAAUAAGCACCGGCUAACUUCG